rnacentral:rRNA from 1 species
GCGGAAGGAUCAUUACCUAGAGUUUGUAGACUUCGGUCUGCUACCUCUUACUAUGUCUUUUGAGUACCUUCGUUUCCUCGGCGGGUCCGCCCGCCGAUUGGACAACAUUCAAACCCUUUGCAGUUGCAAUCAGCGUCUGAAAAAACAUAAUAGUUACAACUUUCAACAACGGAUCUCUUGGUUCUGGCAUCGAUGAAGAACGCAGCGAAAUGCGAUAAGUAGUGUGAAUUGCAGAAUUCAGUGAAUCAUCGAAUCUUUGAACGCACAUUGCGCCCCUUGGUAUUCCAUGGGGCAUGCCUGUUCGAGCGUCAUUUGUACCUUCAAGCUCUGCUUGGUGUUGGGUGUUUGUCUCGCCUCCGCGUGUAGACUCGCCUUAAAACAAUUGGCAGCCGGCGUAUUGAUUUCGGAGCGCAGUACAUCUCGCGCUUUGCACUCAUAACGACGACGUCCAAAAGUACAUUUUUACACUCUUGACCUCGGAUCAGGUAGGGAUACCCGCUGAACUUAAGCAUAUCAAUAAGCGGAGGAAAA